rnacentral:sRNA from 1 species
AUUAAUAGUCAUGAAUAUCUGCUAUUAGGAGGCUCCAGGAACGCUGCCCAGCGCGGUUAUUAGAAGCUCAAGCGAAGCCGCCGCUAAGAAAAGAGGGGGAGACACGGAUUAAGGAACACGCACGCACCCACACACUCACACAUACUUUUUCCUUUUUCCUUUUUUGGGGUUUUUCAUUUUUAAAGAACUUUGAAUCAUAACCAGUCGCGGCAGGAUAGAGACCGUGGGUUCGACCAGCUGAAGGCGCCGCGCGAAUCGGUGGUUCAAGUUCGGAUGGAUCCGAGCCGGGCUCCCGCGCUCCGGGGAGCGUCGGCGCCGUGACUGGAGUCCUGGGUGGCGCGGGGCUCUCGGCGCCUUUUGUGUGGGGCGCGCUCGGGCGGCGGGGCAACCGGGCGCUCCAGGCUUGCUUGUUUUUUUCCACCCUGACUCGUUACCCCAGACUCUUCGCAGAUGUUAGUUCACAGUUUUUCAGCCAUGGACCGUCACGACGGCACCAGCAACGGGACGGCACGGUUGCCCCAGCUGGGCACUGUAGGUCAAUCUCCCUACACGAGCGCCCCGCCGCUGUCCCACACCCCCAAUGCCGACUUCCAGCCCCCAUACUUCCCCCCACCCUACCAGCCUAUCUACCCCCAGUCGCAAGAUCCUUACUCCCACGUCAACGACCCCUACAGCCUGAACCCCCUGCACGCCCAGCCGCAGCCGCAGCACCCAGGCUGGCCCGGCCAGAGGCAGAGCCAGGAGUCUGGGCUCCUGCACACGCACCGGGGGCUGCCUCACCAGCUGUCGGGCCUGGAUCCUCGCAGGGACUACAGGCGGCACGAGGACCUCCUGCACGGCCCACACGCGCUCAGCUCAGGACUCGGAGACCUCUCGAUCCACUCCUUACCUCACGCCAUCGAGGAGGUCCCGCAUGUAGAAGACCCGGGUAUUAACAUCCCAGAUCAAACUGUAAUUAAGAAAGGUAAGCCAUUUCCUUCUGCAUUCCAAGCAUGUCCUUACAGGCAGAGUGCUAUUUAAAAGAACUUGCAGAGAUGUGUUUAUUUUUUCCAAAUAGGAUUUCCUAAAGGCUCAGAAUUAGCAAAUAGAUAGGCACAGAACAGCAAUGCUUAAAUAAUCAGCCUUCAGUAUGUUGGUAAUGCCAACAGGCUAGCUUUGUUCUGACUCAUGAUUUGACCAUUUAAUUUAGUUUAAUGAUAUUUGGACAAACACACAAAAUGUACAGUAGUUGAACUGAUUUGGAAGUGGCAUUUCAAUUUUGAAACAGUUUGAUAGUUUAAUCCAUUGCCUGGAUGAGGGUUAAGAAGUGUAUAAUGCUAAAAUAGUACAAAUAAUUUAACAUUAAUGUAAGAACAGAUGAUAAAAAGCACUCUUUAGUAGAGGAAAAAAACAUUCACGUUCUUCAAUUUAGUUUCUUGUUAGCUGUUUAAGGGUCUUAGAACUUUGUGAAUUAGGUUAACAAAAUUUUAGCUUUUGGUUAAAAUUAGUAUCUUGAAGAUGGGAGGAAUAUUAGCAUACUUGUUCAGAGGAGAAAUUGUUAGAAAAGUGUCAAGUGAUUUGCAUGGAUUUGUAAUCUGUAUUGUGUUUAGUGAGUAGAAAUAAAGUUUACUGAAUUAAAUGC